UAUUUCUGUCUAUUGUGCUUAUUCUAAUUUUCAGGUAUACCUUGAGAAAGUCUUUUGUUUAUGCAGUGUUUGCAAACUGGCCAGCAAACAACACAUUGGAAAUUCCAUCUCCAAAAUCGACCCCAAACACAAAUGUUACAAUGCUUGGUGUUCCCCAGCUGCUGAAGUGGAAGCCUUCUAAACCUCAGGGCAUAGUUGUUCAGCUGCCAAUUCUGACACAGUCUACCCUUCCAUCAAAAAUUUUGUGGACAUUGAAGCUUGAAAAUAUUUCUUAGGGUCUUGACCCAUUAAGAAUGAGAUGCCUUUGUCACUUUGAAAGAUGGAGUACCAUCCUUUUUAUAACAUGGAGGCAGGAGAAUGUCCGGUGUUAAUCUGAGUGGGUUGUGGAUUGCCAUUUAUAUAUAUAAAAAAAAAAAAAAUCAUCAUAUAUGUUUGUGGGUUAUAGUUUGAUUAGAGAUUCCCAUUACUGAAAUUUUCAACAAACUUACUGGUGAAGGACUCUUAAAACAACCCUUGAUGAUAUUAAAUGUAUAAUUCUAAAUGACUGUUUUAUAAAUGCCGAACAUCACUUUUGUUUUAUAUACAAUAAUGUAAGAUUACUUUGUUCACAGAUGAUACCUGUUGAUUUGGCUAAAUGGUAUGGUAUGUGCACUGAUGUUUAAAGCAGUUGUUUAAUCCAGAUUAUAAUAAUGAAGUGCCUUCAUAUCAGUAACUAACACAGUGCUCAACCCCUUUUCUGUGAAAUCAAGCAUAGUGCUACAUAUAAUUGGGGCGAGCCCUGAGGUCAUUGACAUUUGUAAAAAAAUGACUGAGGUCAUUUAGAAAAAUGGUAGAGAGAGGAUUUGCAUUCAUAUCCAUUUUAAGAAGAAUAAGGCAUUGUAAAUAUAACACCUUGCAUUAUUUCAUGAGUUAAACCCCACAUUGCUUUAUUUGUAAAUCACAAGUCUUGUCAGGAACAGGGCACAUUUAUAUGGUAAAAUCAGGGAUUUCUCUGAAAAUCAGGGACACUUGAAAUUCAAGAUUAUAGUCAGACAGAGAAAGGCGUAUAGUCUACUUGCACUUUUUUUUUUUUUAACCACUGAAGCGUCACUAGCACCAGGAUGAGAUAGUCCUUUGUUUUUGAUUGUAAUGUGCCUAUUCCUCUUUUAAAAACAUAUAAUAUGCUUCUACAGACUGGUGCUGCUAUGGUGCAUUAUGUUUACUGUUUAGCAGUACAAGCUGGAGAGAAAAACGUCAUCUUUACAAAGAUGGACAUGCUGUUGGAGUUGUCUUACUUGUGAUAAAUGUCUCUGACAUUUGCAACAAGACGCCAUGGAAAGAACAUCCGGGUGAUUGUCCUUGGCUAAGCAAGCAGCAUUACACUGUUUCUGAAAUAGAGCUGUAGAUGAAAAGGUAUUGGGGCAAAAUUCUUGCUAGUGAUCUCUACCAGCAGAACAUUGUAGAUGCCAGUACAUAGUCAGUGUUAACUAAUGGCACUUUUUAUAUAACACAUGUAUUGCACUCAAUAACAUUUUAAGCCUGUUCUUCCAAUUUACAGAAAUAAAACAUAUUAUGAUGUAUAGUCAUUAAAAUAAGACAAAGUUUAUAGUGCAGUUAUUGGUUAAUAUUACUUCAGAAAUUAUUAAAAGUAAUUUCUAAUGCUGCAUGAAACCUUAAGCUCUUGGGCAGUUCAUGCACUAUUGAUGUUCCUGAGCUUGGGCUAUCUCGGAAGAAGGUGAGUUCUUGUGAAACAUGCAGUUUGAAAGAAUUGAAAAGUUAAAGUUACUGCAUUUUAACUCCUGCAAGCUGCGCCAAUGCUAAUCUAUGUUGACAUUGUUUCAUCAGUGUAGACAGGAGCCUUUCUUAUGCUUCAUUGUGAAUCUGAAAUUUCAAAUUAUUUUUUAUAAAAGUAGUUUAGAUUUAAAGGAUGAAGUUUUAUGUAUUGUGCAUCUGAGCUAAUUCUGUUCUGUAAUGCACUUGUCUAAAAUAAAGUCUUGAGUUUGCAUAUGUUAAUGAUUACA